CUCGGCGACCACCUCGAGCAGCUUGGUCCGGUACUCCUCAGCCUGCUCGGCCAGGUCGGCCGGUAUUUCCACGGUGUCGUAGGUUUCGCCGAGUUUCGUCUCGCCGCGCCA
rnacentral:sRNA from 1 species